GAUGAACGCUAGCUACAGGCUUAACACAUGCAAGUCGAGGGGCAGCACGGUCUUAGCUUGCUAAGGCCGAUGGCGACCGGCGCACGGGUGAGUAACACGUAUCCAACCUGCCGUCUACUCUUGGACAGCCUUCUGAAAGGAAGAUUAAUACAAGAUGGCAUCAUGAGUUCACAUGUUCACAUGAUUAAAGGUAUUCCGGUAGACGAUGGGGAUGCGUUCCAUUAGAUAGUAGGCGGGGUAACGGCCCACCUAGUCUUCGAUGGAUAGGGGUUCUGAGAGGAAGGUCCCCCACAUUGGAACUGAGACACGGUCCAAACUCCUACGGGAGGCAGCAGUGAGGAAUAUUGGUCAAUGGGCGAGAGCCUGAACCAGCCAAGUAGCGUGAAGGAUGACUGCCCUAUGGGUUGUAAACUUCUUUUAUAAAGGAAUAAAGUCGGGUAUGUAUACCCGUUUGCAUGUACUUUAUGAAUAAGGAUCGGCUAACUCCGUG
rnacentral:rRNA from 1 species